GAUGAACGCUGACAGAAUGCUUAACACAUGCAAGUCCACUUGAAUUUGGGUUUUUACCUUAGGUUUGGGUGGCGGACGGGUGAGUAACGCGUAAAGAACUUGCCUCACAGCUAGGGACAACAUUUGGAAACGAAUGCUAAUACCUAAUAUUAUGAUAAUAGGGCAUCCUAUAAUUAUGAAAGCUAUAAGCGCUGUGAGAGAGCUUUGCGUCCCAUUAGCUAGUUGGAGAGGUAACGGCUCACCAAGGCGAUGAUGGGUAGCCGGCCUGAGAGGGUGAUCGGCCACAAGGGGACGGAGACACGGCCCUUACUCCUACGGGAGGCAGCAGUGGGGAAUAUUGGACAAUGGACCGAGAGUCUGAUCCAGCAAUUCUGUGUGCACGAUGAAGUUUUUCGGAAUGUAAAGUGCUUUCAGUUGGGAAGAAACAAAUGACGGUACCAACAGAAGAAGUGACGGCUAAAUACGUG
rnacentral:rRNA from 1 species